rnacentral:rRNA from 1 species
UACGGAGGGUGCAAGCGUUAAUCGGAAUUACUGGGCGUAAAGCGCACGCAGGUGGCUGAGUCAGUCGAUUGUGAAAGCCCUGGGCUUAACCUGGGAAUUGCAGUCGAUACUACUCAGCUAGAGUAUGGGAGAGGGUAGUGGAACUCCUGGUGUAGCGGUGGAAUGCGCAGAUAUCAGGAAGAACACCAACGGCGAAGGCAGCUCGCUAGGACGGUACUGACGCUGAGACGCGAAAGCGUGGGGAGCGAACAGG